AGACCACAGGGAUUGCCUCAGUAACGGCGAGUGAAGCGGCAACAGCUCAAAUUUGAAAUCUGGCUCCUUCAGGGUCCGAGUUGUAAUUUGUAGAAGAUGCUUUGGGUGUGGUACCGGUCUAAGUUCCUUGGAACAGGACGUCAUAGAGGGUGAGAAUCCCGUAUGUGACUGGUUGCCUUCGUCCGUGUAAAGCUCUUUCGACGAGUCGAGUUGUUUGGGAAUGCAGCUCAAAAUGGGUGGUAAAUUUCAUCUAAAGCUAAAUAUUGGCCAGAGACCGAUAGCGCACAAGUAGAGUGAUCGAAAGAUGAAAAGCACUUUGGAAAGAGAGUUAAACAGUACGUGAAAUUGUUGAAAGGGAAGCGCUUGCAAUCAGACUUGCGCGCGGUUGAUCAUCUGGUGUUCUCMCCAGUGCACUCUGCCGCGCUCAGGCCAGCAUCGGUUUUGGUGGUUGGAUAAAGGCCUUGGGAACGUAGCUCCUCUCGGGGAGUGUUAUAGCCCUCGGUGCAAUGCAGCCUACCGGGACCGAGGACCGCGCUUCGGCUAGGAUGCUGGCGUAAUGGUUGUAAGCGACCCGUCUUGAAACACGGACCAAGGAGUCUAACAUCUAUGCGAGUGUUUGGGUGUCAAACCCAUACGCGUAAUGAAAGUGAACGGAGGUGAGAACCCUUAAGGGUGCAUCAUCGACCGAUCCUGAUGUCUUCGGAUGGAUUUGAGUAAGAGCAUAGCUGUUGGGACCCGAAAGAUGGUGAACUAUGCGUGAAUAGGGUGAAGCCAGAGGAAACUCUGGUGGAGGCUCGCAGCGGUUCUGACGUGCAAAUCGAUCGUCAAAUUUGCGCAUAGGGGCGAAAGACUAAUCGAACCAUUGGAAUAACUACUAGGUGGUUAAGAGACCGCCGCGGCGGUCUAGUCUACUYCGUGUAGGCGACAUUGUCAAAUUGUUCGGGGACCUCCCGCGAAAUCUCAAGCUACCGCAGCUUCCCCGAAAGGGGGGCGCGCACCGGGUUAACGACCUCGGGGAUGGUAACAACGCUUGGGUAGGGACGAUCCGCAGCCAAACCCUACGGGCUCUGAGAGCCUACGGGUGCAGUUCACAGACUUGAAGGCAGUGGGCCCAUCYAGGGCUUAAGAUAAAGUCGAACCCCCGGGAGACCGGGUCAGUGGGAGGAGGGUGCUACACCCGGAGCCCACCGCGGC
rnacentral:rRNA from 1 species